UAGACAUGAAGUGCGAACUCUUGGUCACUCACUGAGUUCUAAUCCAAUUUAUUCAGUCAAUAUAGGCGUUCAGCGUAAGAGAAAGAGAGCCAAUGAUUGAAUCAGUGUCUGUGGUAAUUGUUGGUGAGAUAGGAGGCAUUUUAUGUGAAGGAGUGCAAAAGAAGAGCGAUCAGGAAGUGGGAAGAUAAGUAUGAACGCCACGGAAGGCAGUUCACUAGAUCAAUUCAUACGACUAGGUCAGAAGAGAAAUCGAGUUCCGCACCUCUUCUUCUCAUACAUGAAAAAUCAAACGACCACGACACCCUUUCCGGGUACAGUGGAUGGUAAUUCUAGUGAGAUUCUGGGCAUCCAGAGUGACGUAUCUGAUAUUCUGGAAGCGACCCAAGAAACGACAAAGGCUAUUUUGAUCCUGGGCAAAGAUAAAGUCACCAGAUUCUACAUUUGUAUCUCAAUUGCUCUUGGCAUCUCUGUCCUUAUUGCAAUUAUUGGAAUCACGGGGUUCUUUUUCUUCAAAAGACGGAGUAUUCGGGAGAUGGAGCUCCAAACAAGAAACGACUGGAGGAGAAAGUCCAGAGAUCAGAGUACGGAAACUAGUCCUCUAGCACACUGAUUACCGGUGUGCUGGUGCCCAGAGCACUAGUAUUCCCGAAAAAAGACAUGAUCCCUGAAGAAUACUAUCACGUGAAAUUUCACAGCGGCUCGAACUUCCUCGAUUCUUCCAAAAAAUGGG